CUGGUGUUCGGGUUGUCAUGCCAAUGGCACUGCCCGGUAGCUAAAUGCGGAAGAGAUAAGUGCUGAAAGCAUCUAAGCACGAAACUUGCCCCGAGAUGAGUUCUCCCUGACCCUUUAAGGGUCCUGAAGGAACGUUGAAGACGACGACGUUGAUAGGCCGGGUGUGUAAGCGCAGCGAUGCGUUGAGCUAACCGGUACUAAUGAACCGUGAGGCUUAACCUUACAACGCCGAAGCUGUU
rnacentral:rRNA from 1 species